ACGCACGCUGGCGGCGUGCUUCACACAUGCCCGUCGAACGGAAAGGCCCUGCUUUUGUGGGGUGCUCGAGUGGCGAACGGGUGAGUAACACGUGAGUAACCUGCCCUUGACUUUGGGAUAACUUCAGGAAACUGGGGCUAAUACCGGAUAGGAGCUCCUGCUGCAUGGUGGGGGUUGGAAAGUUUCGGCGGUUGGGGAUGGACUCGCGGCUUAUCAGCUUGUUGGUGGGGUAGUGGCUUACCAAGGCUUUGACGGGUAGCCGGCCUGAGAGGGUGACCGGCCACAUUGGGACUGAGAUACGGCCCAGACUCCUACGGGAGGCAGCAGUGGGGAAUAUUGCACAAUGGGCGGAAGCCUGAUGCAGCAACGCCGCGUGCGGGAUGACGGCCUUCGGGUUGUAAACCGCUUUCGCCUGUGACGAAGCGUGAGUGACGGUAAUGGGUAAAGAAGCACCGGCUAACUACGUG
rnacentral:rRNA from 1 species